UACGAAGGGGGCUAGCGUUGCUCGGAAUUACUGGGCGUAAAGGGCGCGUAGGCGGAUGUCUAAGUUGGGGGUGAAAUCCCGGGGCUCAACCUCGGAACCGCCUUCAAUACUGGAUAUCUUGAGUUCGGGAGAGGUGAGUGGAAUGCCGAGUGUAGAGGUGAAAUGCGUAGAUAUCAUUUGGAACGCCAACGGAGAAAUCAGCUCGCUGGGGGUGUGCUGACGCUGAGACACGAAAGCCAGGGGAGCGAACGGG
rnacentral:rRNA from 1 species